rnacentral:rRNA from 1 species
GAUCAUGGCUCAGGAUGAACGCUAGCUACAGGCUUAACACAUGCAAGUCGAGGGGCAUCAGGGUGUAGCAAUACACCGCUGGCGACCGGCGCACGGGUGAGUAACACGUAUCCAACCUGCCCUUUACUCGGGGAUAGCCUUUCGAAAGAAAGAUUAAUACCCGAUGGUAUAACAUGACCUCCUGGUUUUGUUAUUAAAGAAUUUCGGUAGAGGAUGGGGAUGCGUUCCAUUAGCUUGUUGGCGGGGUAACGGCCC